AGUACAGUGGCGUACGGGUGAGUAACACGUGGAUCAUCUACCUUUUAGUGGGGGAUAACUCUGGGAAACCGGAGCUAAUACCGCAUAAGUCCGAGAGGAGAAAGCAGCAAUGCGCAGGAGGAGGAGUCCGCGGCCGAUUAGCUAGUUGGUAGGGUAAAAGCCUACCAAGGCAACGAUCGGUAGCCGGCCUGAGAGGGCACACGGCCACACUGGUACUGAAACACGGGCCAG
rnacentral:rRNA from 1 species